ACAGGCUGUCCCUCUGAAACUCCAGCCUUUCCCUCGGUUUCAGGCCAGACCAUGCCAUGCCAUGCCUCCUAUUUUACUUUCAAACAGCUAACUGGCAGAGAAAACCAUGAGGCUAGAAACAAACACACAUGUAUUUAUUUACAUUGUGAUAGUCUCCAAAGGCUCCAUCCAGCACUGUGGUUAAAGCAAACAACCAAUCAGCAAAGCAAGUCCAGAGUUCAAGCAGCAGCAAUCACUGCGCUGAGCUCCUCCGCUGGCAAACUUCAGCAUGUGGGUACCCGCAAAACAGAGAAGUGCUCGCUGGACUCCAGCGGCAUUGUGAGAUAUAAAAGUAACUAAUCAAUCAGUCUGCAACAGUUGGGAUCUGUUAUUGUAAGCAAUCUCCAUGAGAAGCUCAAGCAGAAACUCCAAAAUCCGUGGCUAAAGUAUAAUGACAUUACAUAUAAAUAAGCAUAGACACUCAAUUUGUGUGACAAAACACGAUGUUUUUAACAACCAAAGUUGUCAAGUUGUC
rnacentral:lncRNA from 1 species